GACGAACGCUGGCGGCGUGCUUAACACAUGCAAGUCGAACGGAGAGGCCCUGCUUUUGUGGGGUGCUCGAGUGGCGAACGGGUGAGUAACACGUGAGUAACCUGCCCUUGACUUUGGGAUAACUUCAGGAAACUGGGGCUAAUACCGGAUAGGAGCUCCUGCUGCAUGGUGGGGGUUGGAAAGUUUCGGCGGUUGGGGAUGGACUCGCGGCUUAUCAGCUUGUUGGUGGGGUAGUGGCUUACCAAGGCUUUGACGGGUAGCCGGCCUGAGAGGGUGACCGGCCACAUUGGGACUGAGAUACGGCCCAGCCUCCUACGGGAGGCAGCAGUGGGGAAUAUUGCACAAUGGGCGGAAGCCUGAUGCAGCAACGCCGCGUGCGGGAUGACGGCCUUCGGGUUGUAAACCGCUUUCGCCUGUGACGAAGCGUGAGUGACGGUAAUGGGUAAAGAAGCACCGGCUAACUACGUG
rnacentral:rRNA from 1 species